CCUACGGGAGGCAGCAGUUAGGAAUAUUGGGCAAUGGAGGAAACUCUGACCCAGCAAAGCCGCGUGAAGGAAGAAGGUUUUCGGAUUGUAAACUUCUGAUCUGUGGGACGAAGAAAGUGACGGUACCACAGGAGAAAGCCACGGCUAACUACGUGCCCGCAGCCGCGGUAAGACGGAGGAUGCGAGCGUUAUCCGGAUGUAUUGGGUUUAAAGGGUGCGCAGGGGGUCUGGUAAGUCAGCGGUCAAAGCCCGGGGCUCAAACCCGGCCCGCCGUUGGAACUGGCAGUCGCGAGUUGGAGAGAAGUAUGCGGAAUGCGCGGUGUAGCGGUGAAAUGCAUUGAUUACGCGCAGAACUCCGAUUGCGAAGGCAGCAUGCCGGCUCCACACUGACGCUGAGGCACGAAAGCGUGGGUAUCGAACAGGAUUAGAUACCCUAGUAGUC
rnacentral:rRNA from 1 species